AGCUAUGAUGAACUCAACUUGUCUUAAAGAUGAUGUAGACAUCCAUUAUCACCAAGAUCUCUGAAGCU